AUUGAACGCUGGCGGCAGGCCUAACACAUGCAAGUCGAGCGGAGCGGCGGACGGGUGAGUAAUGCCUAUGAAUCUGCAUGGACGUGGGGGCUAAAGUCCGGAAACGGGCGCUAAUACAGCAUACUCUCAACUGAGCCUAGGUCGGAGUAGCUAGUUGGUGGGGGAAAGGCCUACCAAGGCGACGAUCCGUAACUGGUCUGAGAGGAUGAUCAGUCACACUGGAACUGAGACACGGUCCAGACUCCUACGGGAGGCAGCAGUGGGGAAUAUUGGACAAUGGGCGAAAGCCUGAUCCAGCCAUGCCGCGUGUGUGAAGAAGGUCUUCGGAUUGUAAAGCACUUUAAGUUGGGAGGCGUUACCAACAGAAUAAGCACCGGCUAACUUCGUGCCAGCAGCCGCGAUAAUUC
rnacentral:rRNA from 1 species